GAUGAACGCUGGCGGCGUGCCUAAUACAUGCAAGUCGAGCGAACAGACGAGGAGCUUGCUCCUCUGACGUUAGCGGCGGACGGGUGAGUAACACGUGGAUAACCUACCUAUAAGACUGGGAUAACUUCGGGAAACCGGAGCUAAUACCGGAUAAUAUAUUGAACCGCAUGGUUCAAUAGUGAAAGACGGUUUUGCUGUCACUUAUAGAUGGAUCCGCGCCGCAUUAGCUAGUUGGUAAGGUAACGGCUUACCAAGGCGACGAUGCGUAGCCGACCUGAGAGGGGGAUCGGCCCAACUGGAACUGAGACCCGGUCCAAACUCCUACGGGAGGCAGCAGUGGGGAAUCUUCCGAAAUGGGCGAAAGCCUGACGGAGCAACGCCGGGGGAGUGAUGAAGGUCUUCGGAUCGUAAAACUCUGUUAUUAGGGAAAAAAAAAUGUGUAAGUAACUAUGCCCGUCUUGACGGUACCUAAACAAAAAGCCCCGGCUAACUACGU
rnacentral:rRNA from 1 species